rnacentral:rRNA from 1 species
CGCUGGCGGCAGGCCUAACACAUGCAAGUCGAACGGUAGCACAGAGAGCUUGCUCUUGGGUGACGAGUGGCGGACGGGUGAGUAAUGUCUGGGAAACUGCCCGAUGGAGGGGGAUAACUACUGGAAACGGUAGCUAAUACCGCAUAACGUCGCAAGACCAAAGUGGGGGACCUUCGGGCCUCACACCAUCGGAUGUGCCCAGAUGGGAUUAGCUAGUAGGUGGGGUAAUGGCUCACCUAGGCGACGAUCCCUAGCUGGUCUGAGAGGAUGACCAGCCACACUGGAACUGAGACACGGUCCAGACUCCUACGGGAGGCAGCAGUGGGGAAUAUUGCACAAUGGGCGCAAGCCUGAUGCAGCCAUGCCGCGUGUAUGAAGAAGGCCUUCGGGUUGUAAAGUACUUUCAGCGAGGAGGAAGGCAUUAAGGUUAAUAACCUUGGUGAUUGACGUUACUCGCAGAAGAAGCACCGGCUAACUCCGUGCCAGCAGCCGCGGUAAUACGGAGGGUGCAAGCGUUAAUCGGAAUUACUGGGCGUAAAGCGCACGCAGGCGGUCUGUCAAGUCGGAUGUGAAAUCCCCGGGCUCAACCUGGGAACUGCAUUCGAAACUGGCAGGCUAGAGUCUUGUAGAGGGGGGUAGAAUUCCAGGUGUAGCGGUGAAAUGCGUAGAGAUCUGGAGGAAUACCGGUGGCGAAGGCGGCCCCCUGGACAAAGACUGACGCUCAGGUGCGAAAGCGUGGGGAGCAAACAGGAUUAGAUACCCUGGUAGUCCACGCCGUAAACGAUGUCGACUUGGAGGUUGUGCCCUUGAGGCGUGGCUUCCGGAGCUAACGCGUUAAGUCGACCGCCUGGGGAGUACGGCCGCAAGGUUAAACUCAAAUGAAUUGACGGGGGCCCGCACAAGCGGUGGAGCAUGUGGUUUAAUUCGUGCAACGCGAAGAACCUUACCUACUCUUGAC